UACGGGGGGAGCAAGCGUUGUUCGGAUUUACUGGGCGUAAAGGGCGCGUAGGCGGCCACCGUAAGUCGGUUGUGAAAUCUCCGGGCUUAACCCGGAAAGGUCAAUCGAUACUGCGGGGCUAGAGUGCAGAAGGGGCAACUGGAAUUCUCGGUGUAGCGGUGAAAUGCGUAGAUAUCGAGAGGAACACCUGCGGCGAAGGCGGGUUGCUGGGCUGACACUGACGCUGAAGCGCGAAAGCUAGGGGGAGCGAACGGG
rnacentral:rRNA from 1 species